rnacentral:rRNA from 1 species
UACGUAGGGUGCGAGCGUUAAUCGGAAUUACUGGGCGUAAAGCGCGCGUAGGCGGUUUUGUAAGUCGGGUGUGAAAGCCCCGGGCUCAACCUGGGAACUGCAUUCGAGACUGCAUAACUGGAGUAUUGGAGAGGGCAGUGGAAUUUCCGGUGUAGCGGUGAAAUGCGUAGAUAUCGGAAGGAACAUCAGUGGCGAAAGCGACUGCCUGGCCAAAUACUGACGCUCAUGUGCGAAAGCGUGGGGAGCAAACAGG